rnacentral:rRNA from 1 species
AUUGAACGCUGGCGGCAGGCCUAACACAUGCAAGUCGAACGAGUGGCGGACGGGUGAGUAAUGUAUGGGGAUCUGCCUGAUGGAGGGGGAUAACUACUGGAAACGGUAGCUAAUACCGCAUACCAUCGGAUGUGCCCAUAUGGGAUUAGCUAGUAGGUGGGGUAAAGGCUCACCUAGGCGACGAUCUCUAGCUGGUCUGAGAGGAUGAUCAGCCACACUGGAACUGAGACACGGCCCAGACUCCUACGGGAGGCAGCAGUGGGGAAUAUUGCACAAUGGGCGCAAGCCUGAUGCAGCCAUGCCGCGUGUAUGAAGAAGGCCUUAGGGUUGUAAAGUACUUUCAGCGGGGAGGCGUUACCCGCAGAAGAAGCACCGGCUAACUCCGUGCCAGCAGCCGCGGUAAUUC